rnacentral:misc_RNA from 1 species
GGCCCAUAGGUUGGGUCGUGACAGCUCUCUUGUUGUCUUUUUAGUGGAAUUAAUAGGGUUUUAUGUUCUUGCAAGAAAAUUGAUCUUUGUAGAUAUUUUGUCUGCUGCAUGGACAAUCUUCGUUCUUUCCUUUAUUAGGCGGAAUCUAUUUUUGUUAUUAUGAUGUUGAGAAAGUAUCUCGCUAUGUGAACAUGUUGACAAACCAGAAAUGAAGAAUAUACAGAAUUCAGUUUGCGUUAUUUUUUCCUUUCUCCGGUGUGUGUGGCUUCAGGUAAAUUGGAGAGGUGAAAAAUUUCUCUGUAUAGAUGCCUGAUUGAAACAUGCAUUAGCCUUUGUUUUUAGUCGCUUGCACGAUGCAAGAAAUUAUGAUGUAAUGCAUGUGGUGGCCAGAAAGAAAGAUUUUAUUAGGUGGAUGCGAUGUUAUUUGAAGAAUAUUAAGAGUAUGCCAUGAAAAUGCAUCUCCUAAGGAAAUUGGCCAUCUUGCAUGGGUAGUUCUAAGGUUGAAUGUACAAUGUUUUGCAGAUGUGCUAGUUAAAUUUACUCUCUUGAAUUCAGAAAAUGAUUUAUGUACUAAAUGAUCUUGAGUAGGCCAAGCCAGGAACUGUGGAAAAGGUGUGUGAAAUAGUGAAGACACAGCUGGCAUUACCACCUGAAAUUGCUGUUACUGGCGAGUCAAAAUUUGCAGCCCUGGGAGCAGAUUCUCUUGAUACGGUAUGUAACAUUUACUAUUGAAGUUUCGGUACACUAAUUUUGCAAUUUUUACUGCAUGAUUUUGCUUUUUCAUAGAUCUGAUGAUGUGUUCCUCUUGCAGGUUAAGUUUUUAUGGUUGAUUGAUGUACCAUCUGUAACUCAUUGGUUUUUGCCUUGUAUAUGUAAAUAUUGUUUGUUUUCCAAUGAAUUUGUCAAGUGGCAGGGGAAACAAAUCACAGAUUAGUUAUUUAUUCUGUUCCAUUCUCAUUUGGUGUAUGUAGUUAAAUAUUUACUGGUCUUUAUGAAUACAAAUUUCUUGAACAUUAUGGAAUAGAAGAAGGCAGGAAGUGAUUAACGACCUCAAAUAGAUAGUUAUGUAUUGGGGAUGGCCUUUCAUGCCUUUGUAUUUUCAGUUCCAAAGAUUUGUCUUUCUGUUAAUAGAAAUUCCUCCAGGAGGAACAUAAGCUAAAACUUCCCAUGUUUGGGUUCGGUCAGCUGUUUGUAGCCUAUGUUAUUGUCCACUAGUUCGUUUCUUUGUUACUAAUUUAUAGGAAUGUGGCAUCUUUGUAGGUUGAGAUUGUGAUGGGACUUGAAGAGGAAUUUGGUAUUAAUGUGGAAGAAGAGAGUGCCCAGAGCAUCAUAACAGUUCAGGAUGCUGCUGAUCUUAUUGAGAUACUUGUUGAGAAGAAGGGUGCUUAGAAGAAAUGCUCAUUACAAUUAGAAUUCUAUUUUCAAGCUUUUUGUUAGCCUGCUUUGGUAGUGCUAGGCAAUCUUGUUGUGAACUAUGUAUUCGCCGGUUUCACCUAGAAUAACUGGUAAAUUGCUCAAUUAUGAAGACCUUAAAUUGCUGAUUUGUCAAAUUAUGCUGGUGUACUGUUAAUACGACUGAGGCCUUGCAUGCUUAUAUUGAUUAGGGCUUAAUUUUAGCAUGAUUGUUAGGACUUAUUUUUAAUUUUACAUAUGGCGUAAUCCCCUGAAGCCCCUGAGAAUAAAAGCCCUAGUCAAACAGAAACUCUUGGGCAUCAAUAUAAUAAAAGCUCUAAAAUUGGGUUAUUUUAAGUAACAAUUUCCUCUGAAACAUAAGAAACCUCCAUGCUUCACUUAUUCUGUAUUACACAGGGCUAUCUUUCGAUGCUUGAUUAACCAGGGGUCCUACUGAUACAAACAAAGCAUUCCAAAUACUAGAGAUACAUUCUACAUAAAGCGGCACAUCUAUUGUACAAGAACAAGUCAAGCAGGCAAUGAAUAAGCAUCUCUUCUGGUGCAGCAAAUUUUUGUCAUCUGGAAGCAUAUUUGCUUGAAUGUACAGAUUGUUAGCCAGUCGUGAUCUCACUUCAUCAUUCCCAAUCAGUAUCAAAGAAACCAGCAUCUUUCAUCUCUGAAUAGCAUACAUUCUCUAGAUGCAAGUAGUCCUCCUGGAAAAAAUCUGCUAAAAAUGUUAUGUAUAUCAGAGGCAGGUAAAAGGCAUGGUAGCAGAAAAUUGUGGUGCCAUACAACCUGCAAAAGAAGAUGAAGGGGAGAAAAAUAAAACAUUCCAUAUGGUCGCUGCAAAUUUUAAAUGCAGUAUUUGAUUAUCUGAUCCAAAAUUACCAGAAACCAAAACCAGUCCCAUUCCCAGUUAGCCCACAGGCAAAUAACGCUAAUGCAUUCAAGGUGAACAUAACAACAAUGUACUUGUAGAACGCGGGCCUUGCUGCAAAAGAUGAAGAAAGACAUAAUAUUAUAACAAACAGCUUCAAAAUUGACAAGAAAACCCUUGUGCCAACAUGCAUGAAUUUGGUAAACUUACCAGGUAAUCUUUCCCUCCACUUGGAAUGGUACAUGAACAAUAUGAAGCCAUAAACUGCAGUUAGUACUAGCCUGUGGACAACCCACAAGCUCCACUUCAUGUGAUGUUGCUGCUCAUUGCUGUCAAUGAACAAAGGGAUCCCAAGUCCAGACAUAUAAAUUGCCUGUAAGAGAAAAAAUUUCAAAUUUAAGGUCCACUGCCUAUUGUCCUCUAGCUUCAAUGCACAAGUUUGGGGAUGGCAGUUCCAUCAACAUCACACAAACAUGAUCUUAGUUCCCAUUGUCAAUAUCAAACAGUUUAAAGUAUUUCAAUUAAAAAAAGAGAAUUACCUUGAGAAGUAUGUCCAAACCAACAAUGAGCACUGAUACAGCAAAUGUCCGUGCCAAAACUUCCAAACCACUUGCAUAAUUUCCUUGGAGUAAAAAGGCAAUCAAGCUUACUUCCAAAAACAGCAUUCCAGAUGUUGUAAACAAAGAUAAAAUAUUCCAUGUCAAUUCUUUUCCAGGAGUGCACUCCCAUGCCUGUGCCGGAGAAGACAGAAUUUCACUUGAUUGUAGCCGAAGGGCCAGAAUGAAAAGCAGAAAGAAGAAGCUCAUAAAGCAAGUCUUGAAACUUGCAUAACUCAACAUAUUGUCCCCAAUGCAUGAAAGACAAUUUUCAAUUAAUCUAAGCGGUGAAACUGUUAUUAACAGCUAUAAGCAAUAGCACCAUGAAUAAACCACAUGACUGCAAUUAGUUGCAGAUUACUUGGAUAAGUUAUCAGAAGCAACCUUCCAAAAACAUAGAGAUGUGCAACCUACUAAAUCAAUCACAAACAUUUUGGUCAGUGCGUCAUGAAAAAUCAAUUAGCAUAACCAUCUUAACUAUGAUUUCAUCAGAUUAUUCUUGCACAUUGGAAGAUAUUCUGAACAGAAGGAUUAGCAUCUAUUAUAAACAAUAGUUGCAGAUAUUGCAAUACAUGCGGCUUGAGUCUACCUGUUAUGUGUGGUAUUUACAAUAAACAACUUCUGUGUCGCAAGUGAAGUUUUUAUCUGCCAUUAUUUGAACUUGAACAUCUAUACUUUUGACAUUUAUGCUGCUCUUAGAAAGAACAGAAGACAAUGCACUCACGCCCACAAACGCACAUCAGAAGGACUAUAUAAAAGAAGGAAGCUAGAUAACCCUGAACUAAGAAAACUAAAACUAGCAGUUUCAUUUAAAAUUCACUAAUUUCCAUAUUUAUGAACUAUUAUAGAUCACCGAUAUCAGGAAAUGUUAGACAUGCCAAAAUGAAUCCACAUUUAUCCCUCAAAUUGCUAUAUGCACUAAGAAAAACUAUCCAAAAUACAAGCUAUAUCAAUAUAAGCAACUAAAAUUAAAAAGACCAAGUUAAGAGUGAAAUGUACAUUCAAGAAACAUACAAACUAGAUGCUGCUUUAAAGAAUCCGACAGCAAAAUAAACUAACCAACCAUAUGGAUUUCAAAUUUAAAGUCACAAACCAGAAAGCAGCACCAAGCAAGAUUGAGCAAGCUAAGGAGGCAAAGCCAUAAUAAGCGUUCAUUAUAUAUGAUCUCCCAUGGGAUAACUUCGGGACACUCUCUUUAACCGGUAAUGCCAAGCAUAGUACAAAAGCAAAAGAAGCCAAAAUGACAGUGACAUUGUGCAAUAACCCGUGGCACUCAAAUAGCCAAUUGUGCAAUCCUGAGCCAAGGAAGCCACUUUCUUUGGGAAAGGAAUUAGUAUUUGUGAAAUAGGGAUUAAAAACGGAGAGGCUGGAGACUCUUGAUGGAGAUUUUGCAUUGUUCUAGAAAGAAUUGGGAGUGGAAAACCCUAAAACAAGGCUUUGAAAUGCUGG